GACGAACGCUGGCGGCGUGCUUAACACAUGCAAGUCGAACGGAAAGGCCCUGCUUUUGUGGGGUGCUCGAGUGGCGAACGGGUGAGUAACACGUGAGUAACCUGCCCUUGACUUUGGGAUAACUUCAGGAAACUGGGGCUAAUACCGGAUAGGAGCUCCUGCUGCAUGGUGGGGGUUGGAAAGUUUCGGCGGUUGGGGAUGGACUCGCGGCUUAUCCGCUUGAUGGUGGGGUAGUGGCUGACCAAGGCUUUGACGGGUAGCCGGCCUGGGAGGGUGACCGGCCACAUUGGGACUGCGGGACGGCCCAGACUCCUACCGGAGGCAGCGGUGGGGAAUAUUGCACAGUGGGCGGAAGCCUGAUGCAGCGACGCCGCGUGCGUGAUGACGGCCUUCGGGUUGUGAACCGCUUUCGCCUGUGACGAAGCGUGAGUGACGGUACUGGGUAAAAAAGCACCGGCUAACUACGUG
rnacentral:rRNA from 1 species